rnacentral:rRNA from 1 species
CUUAACACAUGCAAGUCGAACGAUGAAGCCCAGCUUGCUGGGUGGAUUAGUGGCGAACGGGUGAGUAACACGUGAGUAACCUGCCCUUGACUCUGGGAUAAGCCUGGGAAACUGGGUCUAAUACCGGAUAGGAACGUCCACCGCAUGGUGGUUGUUGGAAAGAUUUAUCGGUCAUGGAUGGACUCGCGGCCUAUCAGCUUGUUGGUGAGGUAAUGGCUCACCAAGGCGACGACGGGUAGCCGGCCUGAGAGGGUGACCGGCCACACUGGGACUGAGACACGGCCCAGACUCCUACGGGAGGCAGCAGUGGGGAAUAUUGCACAAUGGGCGAAAGCCUGAUGCAGCGACGCCGCGUGAGGGAUGACGGCCUUCGGGUUGUAAACCUCUUUCAGUAGGGAAGAAGCGAAAGUGACGGUACCUGCAGAAGAAGCACCGGCUAACUACGUGCCAGCAGCCGCGGUAAUACGUAGGGUGCGAGCGUUAUCCGGAAUUAUUGGGCGUAAAGAGCUCGUAGGCGGUUUGUCGCGUCUGUCGUGAAAGUCCGGGGCUUAACCCCGGAUCUGCGGUGGGUACGGGCAGACUAGAGUGCAGUAGGGGAGACUGGAAUUCCUGGUGUAGCGGUGGAAUGCGCAGAUAUCAGGAGGAACACCGAUGGCGAAGGCAGGUCUCUGGGCUGUAACUGACGCUGAGGAGCGAAAGCAUGGGGAGCGAACAGGAUUAGAUACCCUGGUAGUCCAUGCCGUAAACGUUGGGCACUAGGUGUGGGGACCAUUCCACGGUUUCCGCGCCGCAGCUAACGCAUUAAGUGCCCCGCCUGGGGAGUACGGCCGCAAGGCUAAAACUCAAAGGAAUUGACGGG